rnacentral:rRNA from 1 species
GACAGAGGAUGCAAGCGUUAUCCGGAAUGAUUGGGCGUAAAACGUCUGUAGGUGGCUUUUUAAGUCCGCCGUCAAAUCCCAGGGCUCAACCCUGGACAGGCGGUGGAAACUACCAAGCUGGAGUACGGUAGGGGCAGAGGGAAUUUCCGGUGGAGCGGUGAAAUGCGUAGAGAUUGGAAAGAACACCGAUGGCGAAGGCACUUUACUGGGCUAUUACUAACACUGAGAGACGAAAGCUAGGGUAGCAAAUGGG